rnacentral:rRNA from 1 species
UACGGAGGGUGCAAGCGUUAAUCGGAAUUACUGGGCGUAAAGCGUGCGCGGGCGGUUUGUUAAGUCCGCUGUGAAAUCCCCGAGCUCAACUUGGGAAUUGCAGUGGAUACUGGCAAGCUGGAGUAUGGUAGAGGAAGGUGGAAUUCCCGGUGUAGCAGUGAAAUGCGUAGAGACCCGGAGGAACACCAGUGGCGAAGGCGGCGUCCUGGCCUACGACUGACGCUGUGGCGCGAAAGCUAGGGGAGCGAACGGG